rnacentral:rRNA from 1 species
GACGAACGCUGGCGGCGUGCUUAACACAUGCAAGUCGAACGCUGAAGCCCUGGCUUUUGUUGGGUUGGAUGAGUGGCGAACGGGUGAGUAACACGUGAGUAACCUGCCCUCUUCUUUGGGAUAACGCCCGGAAACGGGUGCUAAUACUGGAUAUUCACUGAUCUUCGCAUGGGGGUUGGUGGAAAGGUUUGUUCUGGUGGGGGAUGGGCUCGCGGCCUAUCAGCUUGUUGGUGGGGUGAUGGCCUACCAAGGCUUUGACGGGUAGCCGGCCUGAGAGGGUGACCGGUCACAUUGGGACUGAGAUACGGCCCAGACGCCUACGGGAGGCGGCAGUGGGGAAUAUUGCGCAAUGGGCGAAAGCCUGAUGCAGCGGCGCCGCGUGAGGGAUGGAGGCCUUCGGGUUGUAAACCUCUUUCGCUCAUGGUCAAGCCGCAACUGUGGGUUGUGGUGAGGGUAGUGGGUAAAGAAGCGCCGGCUAACUACGUG